rnacentral:rRNA from 1 species
GACGAACCGUGCGAACGUUGUUCGGAAUCACUGGGCUUAAAGGGCGCGUAGGCGGGUUCGCAAGUCAGGGGUGAAAUCUUUCAGCUUAACUGGAAAACAGCCCCUGAUACUGCGAGUCUCGAGGGAGGUAGGGCAUGUGGAACUUCCGGUGGAGCGGUGAAAUGCGUAGAUAUCGGAAGGAACGCCGGUGGCGAAAGCGACGUGCUGGACCUCUCUGACGCUGAGGCGCGAAAGCUAGGGGGAGCAAACGGG